AAUAUUCUAAGUGGGGGAGAGUUGUAACAUCCCGAUUUUUAUUAAUAUUUUUAUUAAUUAUAUUAGUAAUUAUAUUGUUUGGUGUUUUUAAUAAUAACUUAUUUAUUUAGUUAUUAUGUGAUAUAAUAAUUAUUUAAGUAUUUAAUUAUGUGAGUGUUUGUGUUGUUUGACUUAAUUGAGUUAUUAGAGAGAUAUAACUAAAUGGGCCUAAGUGAUAGAAACAUAAUGGAUGGAUUGAUGGGUUAAGCCCAAUUGACAUAAGUGAGAUAGUAAGAGAAGGUUAGGGUUUUAGAGGUUACUAUUUUCAUUUGGGGGAAAAGAUAGGAAGAAGAGAAAAGAGGCAAAAGGGAAGAGAACAAUGGUGGAAGAGAAAAGCUAGAAGAAACCUCAUUUUCGCAGCAAGUUUCAGCAUUGAGUCACCUUAGCAAAAUGGAUGUAUCUCUCAAUCCAACCGUUGGAUCGUCGCGUGGUUUUGACACAACGUUCCUGACUCAUAGAGGUGUGUCUCCAAAUUAUGUUUGAAGGAUUUAUUUUGGAGAAAAACUUAGAGCUAUGGUGAAAGAGUUCAUAUUUGCCAAGGUACUCAAGUAUAACUAUGGAAGUUGUAGGUUCAUCGUAUCCAGUUGGUGUGUCGCUCUGAUACGUAGCACUCGGGGGGUUGUCUAUAUUGUUGUUUCUAUGUUGUUCAUGUUUUAGUUGUUGAGUUCCAAAUUGGAUAUUGAGAAGUACUAUGAUGUUUGAAUUUGUUUCCGAUUAAAUAAGAUGAUUUGUUUAUAAAGCUGAAUGUUAUG